rnacentral:lncRNA from 1 species
CGGCAUCAUCAUCUUGUUGUUGUGCUGCAUUGCCACUGUAUAAGCUAACUCCUCAGGACUCAGAGACUGCAAAUGCCGCUAAGCAUAAGAAGAAGAUUACGAUCUUGAUAGUCGGUCGUCGUCGAUAAAGUUUGUCGCCAAUACUCCUUGAGAAGUGUAAGCUAGUUGUGGCCCACCUCUCCAUAAAAUCAAGAAACAUCCUCGAUUUUAUAGUCUUAUGCAUUUCAGUUGUUACUCCUAUUUUUUGCAAAAUCAACUACAAUAGAGUGAAGGGUUGCCAACAGAAGACUUUUUUAC